CAGCCGCCGCGGGAAUACGUAGGUGGCAAGCGUUGUCCGGAAUUAUUGGGCGUAAAGGGCCCGCAGGCGGUUUCUUAAGUCUGAUGUGAAAGCCCCCGGCUCAACCGGGGAGGGUCAUUGGAAACUGGGAAACUUGAGUGCAGAAGAGGAGAGUGGAAUUCCACGUGUAGCGGUGAAAUGCGUAGAGAUGUGGAGGAACACCAGUGGCGAAGGCGACUCUCUGGUCUGUAACUGACGCUGAGGAGCGAAAGCGUGGGGAGCGAACAGGAUUAGAUACCCCAGUAGUCCCUGUCUCUUAUAC
rnacentral:rRNA from 1 species